rfam:Methanocella paludicola SANAE DNA, complete genome.
CGGCGAGCUAGCCCGGGUGGUUCGGCGUCACCUAUUACCUUCAAUCGUCGGCAUGUCGGGGGCGAAGCUUGAGGAAGGCGUUCCUGUUGUAUGAAGGCCUUACUUCUCGACAGUGAAAGCCCGUCCCGCUUGGUUGGCGGUGGCGCUAUGUCAUGCUGGAGAGCAUGACGUACGCCUUAAUUACGGGGACCGGCACAGGCCCGGAAGGGAGCAUGCUUACCGUGAACAACUAACGCUUGUGGGGUCGCGGGCUGGAGGGAAGGGGUAAGAUAACUUUCAUAUUGCUCGGCGUCGACUGAUGGCGUGCUCGCUA